rnacentral:lncRNA from 1 species
GAGAGGAUGAUGAGUUGGCUGAAGGCAUCCGCCCUGCUUUUAUUAAAUCUGAUUUCAGUGACAUAAACAAUAAUGUCAAUAAAAAUGCUUCAAAGAAUGCUGCUGACGUGCAUUUUCAGGAGGAGAAGCCUAGUUCCUCUGCUGAUACAAGCAUUUUCAGCUUAGAGACAACAGACAAUGAUAAUACAUUUGGAAAUAAGCCGGUCAGUGGAUCAAGUAUAAACCCUUUUGAAGACUAUACCAAAUCAAGUGUUGAUACUGCCAGUCCAGCUGAUGUCGUUUUGGCACCUGUUAGUCACAGAGCGAGCGGAGGAUCUCUUCCAAAC